GUGUGUGCAGUCAUGCCAAUAGCUUGUCUAAAUUUAGUAAAUUAUCAUUAUAAGUAGGAAUUUGAUAUAUAAAAAUAACUAGCUUUUAUAAUUAUUUAGUAUGAUGUGACCAUUUUUCAAACACAAUAUUAAUUUCAUUCAUGUUUUAAAAUCUCAUAUUAACAUUUUAUUUCAUCACUUUUUGUGUUCAUACAUAGAGCAAAUUUGAUUUAUUGAUUUAUUGCACUUUAUAAAGUGAUAUAAACAUAUUAUCAUUAUAUUGAUUAACUAUCAAAAUUGACAUGAGUUCUGUCUGUUGUAACUAUGAUGUCUAGUACAGAUUAGGAGGACACUUUUGUUUAUCAAAAGACACUUUUCAACUAUUUAGAGUGGUAUGGGCUUGAAAUAUUCCAGUUAUGAUUGUAAAGUUAUCUUCUUCUUUUGUAGAAAGAUUAUCACUACACAUUAGAAUGAAAUUUCUAAUACCCAGAGAAAACAUAGUUUCCACAAUGCCAAACAAGAGGUCUCCAAAAUCACUUUGGUGACUUGUAAGCAAUGGUAUUAUACCACACAAUGAAACUGUGAGAGAAAAAGACUGCACUUCCUUUAUUUUGAAAAUGCAGCAAAAGGAAAUUGUGUAUCAUAUAAAAACUACAGAGAUGAUUCUGGAUCUAUGCAUGAAAAGAGAAAUGAUAGAAAAUAUAUAUGUGAGAAUUAGUUUUUGAUAUAUAUCAAAGAAGACUGAUUACUGAGCUGUGUAUAAGAUAAUUCAUGACAUGUUACACGUGAAUUAAAGGAAAAUUGAGGAAUAAUGCAAUUUUCAGUAUUGACAACAAAUUAAUAUCAAUAAGUUGAACAAUAGUGUUUCUGGAACAUAGAAGACAGAGAAAUAAAAAUAUAAUCAGAGGAAAAUACUGUGUACUUGUUUAAUGUGGGGAUUUACAUACAAAAGGAAAUUGUCAGAUAAAACAUGUUAUAAUAUUGUGAUGAUUUAAAAUCUGUGAGAAAUGAAAUGUUUAUGACUAUUUAUGACAUUUAUUACUAAGAUGUCAAAACAGACUGAUAGCUUUAAAUAACAAUGUGUAAAGCUGAUUUGUGGCAUACAAAAAAGUGAAUUUAAAAUAAACCAGUUGAAAAACAUUGAAGGCAAACAAUGUUUAGUAUUACAACAAAUGGAUAUCAAACAAGGAACCAACAACUAAUUUGAUUCUGGAACAUGUAAGACAGAGACAUUUCAAAGGUUUGAAUGUGAUUUGGAUUUAUUGAAUGAAAAACAUUAGUGUAGCAGGAUUUGAUAUUUUCAAAAUAAAGUGUGAGGCAUUAUUUAGAUCAGAAAUAUAUGAAGAUUCAUCAGACAUCUUUAUAAAACAUUUAAAUAGACAUUUAUUAUUUUACCAUUCAUUUAUACUUUAUUAUGAAUUGAAAAAUCAAAAGCUUUAUUACAAAUCAUUGUAUAGACAUUAUUUAUUUACCCUUGUCUGGCAAGAUACAUAAACAUCAUAAUACAAUGAGUAUUAUGAAACAUGCAAGUUUUUAGUGAAAGUACACAUUUAUGUUCAUGUAUAUAAAGAUAAAUAAAUGUUUUAGAAAAUUCUCUUUAAUAUUGUAUGCUAUUUGUUUUCUUUUAUCAUCCUUCUUAAAUUUUUGGGCUAACUACUAGUACUUGAUGUACUUUUUUUAUUUAGUGUUAGAAGUUUAGUAAGUUUUAAUCUUGGACAAAUGGAUUCAGCAGUUAAAGAAAUAAAAUUUUUAAUAUUUUCUGGGCUUUACCACUGUCUCUUAUUCAGCAGUUAAAGGGGAUAAUGAAUGAUACAUAUUUCUCACAGCAGAUUUGAUUUCUUGAGGUCAACUUAGGGAGCUACCAUUUGAUUUUUAUGGGGGGGCUAGGAUGAAAAAUUUUGUCCUGCCUAUAUAUUUUUCCCUCUAUUCAGUCCUGCCUUUUUAUUUUUCACUCUAUUCGGUCCUGCCUUUUUUUUAUUAGUUUGUCCUGACUUUUUUUAACCUAAAUUGUCAUCCUGCCUUUUUUUUUUGCAAAGUGUCUCAUCCUGCCUUUUUUUUUUUUACUCAGAACUCCUGUCCUGCCUAUUUUUUUCAAAUUUCAUCCUAGCCCCCCCCAUAAAAAUCAAAUGGUAGCUCCCUUACA